rnacentral:lncRNA from 1 species
GCUGCUGCUCAAAUGGACUUCUUCCCGUCUCUCACUUCCUUGGCUGCUCUCUCAAGAGCCUCGAGGGAGGCUAGACCCCUGCAUGUUUUACAUUUGUAACAAUACAAAAUACACUAUCUUGAGUUCAUAUGCAUGACACAUUGCAAAAAUACUAUGCAUAUUAUGCAUAAAACUGACAAAGCGUGUAAAUAUAUGGGGUAUGGUGGUCAUUGGCUCAACAUAUCCCGAGGUCAUUGGUCAUUGGCUCAACAUAUCCCGACGUCCUUGGUCAUUGGCUCAACAUAUCCCAUGGUUUAUUGGCUCAACAUAGCUCAAGGUCAUUGGUCAUUGGCUCAACAUAAUCCAUGGUCAUUGGCUCAACAUAUCCCAUGGUUUAUUGGCUCAACAUAUCUCAAGGUCAUUGGCUCAACAUAUCCCAUGGUUUAUUGGCUCAACAUAUCUCAAGGUCAUUGGCUCAACAUAUCCCAUGGUUUAUUGGCUCAACAUAGCUCAAGGUCAUUGGCUCAACAUAUCCCGAGGUCAUUGGUCAUUGGCUCAACAUAUCUCAAGGUCAUUGGCUCAACAUAUCCCGAGGUCAUUGGCUCAACAUAUCCCGAGGUCAUUGGUCAUUGGCUCAACAUAUCUCAAGGUCAUUGGCUCAACAUAUCCCGAGGUCAUUGGCUCAACAUAUCCCAAGGUCAUUGGCUCAACAUAUCUCAAGGUCAUUUUCUCAACUUACCCUGAAGUAAACAUUUGGACUAUAUUAGCCCACACCGCUACAAGGAUGCACUUUCAUGAAAGUUCUAUGACCUCAUAUCGUAGCUUAUAGAGAUCCCAACUGAUGUAUAAAACAAAUUUAAAAUGAUCUAUACUAAACUAAAAUAUAAACGAAACAUGUAAAGUGUCCCAUGUUUCAUGAGCUGAAAUAAAAGAUCCCAGAAAUUUUCCAUACGCACAUUAAGAUUAUCUCUCUCAAAUGUUGUGCACCAUUUUGUUUUAGAUUCCUGUUAGUGACAGGUGUGGCAUGCCAAGAAGCUGGUUAAACAGCAACAAUCAUUACACAGGUGAACCUUGUGCUGGGGGGACAAUAAAUGACCACUUUUAAAAUGUUUUUGUCACACAACACAAUGCCAGAGAUGUCUCAAGUUUUUGAGGGAGCAUGCAAUUGGCAAUGCCGACUGCAGAAAUGUCCACUGGAGCUGUGUUGCCAGAGAACUGAAUGUUCAUUUCUCAACCAUGCCUCGACCGACCGUUCCAAGAGAAGAUUUCAGGUAGAAAAUGUGUUUCUUCAAUACUGUGACUGCUCAUAUAAGUAGUGGUAUAUGAACUUUUCUUGUUCCCACAUAUUUUAUCAUCAUCAAAUAGCACAGAGAUUGAAAAAAAAAUCUACUAGAGGUUAAAGACGUCGGGACAGUAAACGAAAGGUCGCCGGUUUGAAUCCCUGAGCCGACAAGGUGAAACAUCUGCCGAUGAUCCCUUGAGCAAGGCACUUAUAACCCUAAUUGCUUUUGUAAGUCGCUCUGGAUAAGAGCGUCUGCUAAAUGACUAAAAUAUCAUGUAAAUGUAUUUGCCAAGACCUCUGCAGUUACACUAAAUGUCCACUAGAUGUCGAUCUAAGCCUAAGUAUUGUGUACAGUGUAUUUGUCAGUGAACAGCAGGAGGCUGGAUUAGUAAAGCUCCGAGGCCCACUGUCUGUUGUGUGGCGCUGUCUGUCUGUCUGUCUGUCUGUCUGUCUGUCUGUCUGUCUGUCUGUCUUUCUGUCUGUCUGUCUGUCUGUCUGUCUGUCUGUUUGUCUGUUUUGUGGCUGCUAUGUGCCACCUGCCUGCCUGCCUGCCUGUCUGUUUUGUGGCUGCUAUGUGCCACCUGCCUG